GAGUGUGCAUGCACGCGCGAGUGUGACCACCCAGACCUUUCACAGGGGCCGUUCGGGGGGGCUGCAUCCUGUUCCGUGCCUUUCGUCUCUCCCCCACCUUUCCCCUAACGUCUAGGAGUAGACAGACCCGAUUACUUUCGCAACCACCAGAGGGCGCAGCGAUGACGGCGGUUGAAAGGAGAACCGACAAAACGACUCCUCUUUGCGGCUGGCUUCAGUCUUGGAAAGGGGCAAAGCUUGCAUCCACGUAGGGCAGAGUGGAAAUCUGGUAGCUUUGGUCACCGGGCGCGACCUCUUCAUCACCUUUAUUCCAAGUGCAGUCAGAUUCGGUCGCAACAGAACUCAGGGCCACGCGGUGCCGGUUACGCCUCGGCCUCAUGCCAGCCCUUCAAACGUGUGCAGGCGAAGAAUGUUCGGGAAAGGCUUCCAGAAAUGUGAAUUCUAAUGGGGGUUCCUCUAUAAUGGGAAGAUGGCCAUUUGGCCACAGCAGAAAGCAGGGCUGGGGAAAACGGGGUGUGCACCAGGACUGUUUAGGGCUAGGCUCCCGAAGGUGGGGCUCUGCCCUGGGCGCUGACAUUAGUUGGGGCUGUCAUCUUCGGAAUGUGGCCUCAGAGGUCUCCACAGGCCAGACAGACAUUGGAGGGUCACACCAAGAAAUGUAUUCGUGUGUGCCAGACCCGGAGGCAGCACACGCCGUUUUCCAUUUGUCUGAACGAGAUUGGUCCUCAUCUAACUGGCGGGGGGGGGGGCUGGGGAAUGUGGUUUAGUCCUGUGCCCAAGAAGAAGAGAAAACGGACGUUGUGAGCACUCUCUUUUUGUCACAUCUCCCUCUUGAGAGAGAUUGCAGUAAGGAUGAAAUGAAAUAAUAUCCGUCAGGGUGUUUUACCCGGCCAGGGAGAUGCCUUACACCUGGAAGAAAGGCGCUGCAAGGGUGAGAUUGCAGAUGAGGUUGUAUCUGAACGGGGACGGGGAUGGUCCAUUUAAGGGUCUGCCCUAGGGCGUGGACUGAGGAACAGGGGAAAGGAGACUGGAGGGGCUGUACUGGUCUUCCCGAACUCACGUGAGUCUUUCACUCUCUGACUCACACAUUUAGUUCCCGCAUUCAUUCAUUCAGUCACUCAUUUACUCUUCACAAAUUGUUGUACCUGCCCUGCCCCAUGUGGCCCGCUGGUCUAUACAAUAAACGAUGCCACGUCAAGGAUUCAGCAUUGGCCUUUGUGUUGGCAGACUGGGCAAUCAGCAAUCACAAACACAUUGAACAAACACUGAGAUAUCUGAGGACAGAGGUUGGGUGACACGCUGGAGAUGGGCCAUCCUUUGUAGCUGCUGAUUAACAGCCCCCCCUCCGGUGGGUACAUGCCCUCAGGCACUAACGUGAGACCCAAAGGGUCACGCAUGCACUUGGGUACGCGUGUCCACUGGUCCAUCCCCAGAUUUCCUUGUCUCUGAUUUUCCACUCUGUUCCUUCCAGGCCCCUGGCAGCUAGCCAGGCCAUCUAAUACCGCAAAGAAGGUAGUACAUCUAUGCCUCGGGCCACCAUUCUGCCCACAUAAAGUGGGCGACCAAGUGCACUGGUUCCAGCUUGCUCCACUAGAAGAACUACCUUUUACUGUCACCUUUAAGGGGCUUCUCUUAAUCUGGGCAACAAUACAGGGGGCAAUCCUAUUCUGUGAACCAACACUGAGUUCAGUAAGGAAGAGGGUACCUACAAGGUAUCUAUAAGUAGGGAUUGAGGGAGAGUCAACAGUGUGGCAGAGGUAAGUGAAAUGAGAGCCCAGGUGGCUGUUUCUAUCAUUCACUUCACCGUUCGGAAUGUGCUAAAGCCUACACUCAAAUAUACCACUUCCAUUGCAUGAUCGAUUGCUGGCGUGUAUGUCCAAACUUAUGUCUUUGUAGAUUAGAUAACAACCCAGUUCACAAGGGGAAAUCAGACUGAAUAGUAACGGGGUAUCUCGUGGUUGGCUACCGAGUCUCGGUUAGGGUCCAGUAUUAUGCCAGGAGCUGCUUCUCAAACAGUAUAGAUCUCUACCGUAAUGCACGGCCUCGUUCCAGAAUCUGUAGGCUCUGUGCUAUGUCUCUUCUACUGAGGACCGCACAUCUUUAUCCAGCGCAGAUACCCCAAGGCACCUUUAGAUCUGUUGGUCCCGUGGCCCAGGCAACAGAGAGCUUGGAACCACAACUUGGACUUGCUCCCCAUUCAAAACUGGUGGUUUUCUGAGUCAUCAGAGAAAUGGAACAGAAGUUUAGACUACGUUGCCUUCAAAAUCCAGAGACACUCCCAGGCAUUCUGCCUCUGUCCUAGUGCUAUAAGAUGCAGAGUGCAGCAGCUUGUUCCUUCCCUUCGGGGGAUAUCCCCACACAUCCCAGACAAGUGGAACGCUAUAAAACUCACCAAUGUGGCGUGCUUCUGCCUCUUUGUGGAGUUUAUCUCCUACUUUCUCCCAUGCAGGUGUCUCAGUGCGUUUGGGAUACUUGCCAAUUCCUGCUCACCGGUUCCAAUUACCAUAGUGUCACCAAUACAGUGGAUCAGCAUGAUGUUCUGCUAUAUCAUGACAGAAAGCAAGAGAGUUAACAUAGCCCCGAGGCAAGACAGUGAGACACAAUAAUCUAUUAAUUUACUGCCAUGGAUCCCUCUGGAUCAAGAAACCCUGACUAUCACUUCGACUUCCUGCCUAUCAAGCAAUUAUGUUUGUUGGGCCUCUGAAAGCCCCCACUGAACUUCUCCAAAAUGCUCAUCUCUUCGUCGUCAGUGUGAUUUUUACUGACUUAGAAAAGACUAUGUCGUCUGAGUGAUAGGUUCUUGGACCAUACACGGUAGACCCACGUUUAAUGUUCCCACUUCCCUAAGUCUUCUGAUCUCUUCUUUAACACGAUGCCAAGGUGAUUCUGGCGUCUCAUUCUGGUCACUGUGUCCCCUUGUGGAGUCCAGGCUUCAAAUAGCCAGCCCGGCAAGUUACGCAGGUGUUUCUUGACACAAAGUAAAGUGUGAAUCAUAAAUGAAUUA